rnacentral:tRNA from 1 species
GGGCUGGGGCUCAGUGGUAGAGCACUUGUCUAGCACAUGUGAAGUGCUGGGUUCAAUUCUCAGCACCACA